rnacentral:lncRNA from 1 species
UUUUUAAUUUGUCACAUAGUAAAAAUGCUCUAUGAUGUUAUAUAUUUAUUAUGUGAAUAAUUGUUCGGUAUUGUUUAAAUACAAAAUGUAAUGUUCUUUGUGGAAGAUAAACAGGUUGUCAUUAUAUACCCUGUCAUUAAGGUGGUAGGAGUAUGGCUAUAUAAGUUGUUACAUUAGGUUUUAACCAAAGAACAUAUUGAGAAUCUCAGUUCUUUUGCUUUUAUGUUUUAUCCCAGUGGCAAUCCAAAAAUUCCUUCAUUUCCUUCGUGUUGUACAUCACAUUAUGCAGAGCUACUUAUUAUUUAGUGGAUUAAAUUUUAUUCAUUGGAUACCAAUUUUUAUGGAUUUCUUGAAUAUAAUUAAACCAUAAGUUUGAAUGUUUUGUAAAGUGUAAAUAGGUUGUAGGCUUAUGUGCAAGACUUCAUUAAAACCAUGACAUCAUCAAAUGUCCAUGAACACACAAAAUGUUUCCCAAUAUAUUAAAAUUGGUAACCUUGAAGAGGAAUCCAAGGUAAUUAGUUCUGUAUACAUUAUACAAAGAGAAAUAUCUGUCAAUGUAUGGUUUAAAAACCAAUCAAUCAUUUACUGUUGUACUGUAAAUGUCUCUUACUGAUACUAAAAGGAUUUAAAAAAAAUAAAACCUAAUAAAACCAUUUGUAAGAAUAGAAAAGCCGGUUCAGAUAUUUUGUCAGUUUUGGAUAUGAUACUGUAAAUUCAGAAAUUAUUGCAAAAAUUUUAUUAAUGUGAAUAAUGCGACUAAGUGGAUAUCGCAAUAAUAAGAACUGACAUUCAGAUAUCUUGUGCAUUUAUCUUUAGGGAGCUACCAUUUGAUUUUUAUGGGGGGGCUAGGAUGAAAUUUGAAAAAAAUAGGCAGGACAGGAGUUUUGAGUAAAAAAAAAAGGCAGGAUGAGACACUUACAAAAAAAAAAGUCAGGACGACAAUUUAGGUAAAAAAAGUCAGGAUAAAAAAAAAAAAAGGCAGGACCGAACAGAGUGAAAAAUAAAAAGGCAGGACAGAGAUUACAGCUAAAAAAAAAAUGCAGGACAACAUUUUUCAUCCUAGCCCCUCCCCCCCCCAUAAAAAUCAAAUGGUAGCUCCCUUAGACAUCACAAUAAUCAAUCAUGCACUUUUGUCCAUUCUUCAAAAAUAAUAAUAAAUGCAUGCUAAUAUUUCUGAAUUCACAGUAUAUUAAACUGCACUGGAUAUUUAUAGAUAGUCAUCAGGUAUUAUCUGGGACUGGCAGUGUUUUAAGAUAUUUAAUUAUGAAUCUCUUUUUGGAUUCCAUUUGUAAUAUUAAGGUGAUUAUAAAUAAAAAUUAAAUUGUGAAACACAAAUACAGGAUAAAUAAUCAAAUGUAAGCAAUUUGAAAAAGACAUUAAAGCAAAUCUGUCUUUUUCAAAACUUUAUCAAGGAGAUUAAGGGUACUUCCAUUAUAAAAUUAGAAAGGUGAAUCUAUGCAGAAACCAUUUAUAUGUCUUUCUUUUUUCUACAUAAGCAAAAUGGUUUACAGUCUUUUAAUGUUCUAUGCAUCAAUGUCUGUGUAUGGUUAUUUUUUCUAUGUUUGAAUUACCCAAAACAGUAAAAAUAUAAUGACUGAUUUGAUUAUAUAGAAUUUCUGUCUUUCAAUGGUUGUUUUUUUUUGUUGUUGUAUGAAAAUGGUGCUUUUUAAAGCAAAUUGUUAUCUUUGUCUAUAUUUCUUUGAUUAUACAUGUAUAUCCACAAGCUACUUUCAGUGGACGACAUUACUUUCAUAAGAAAAUGAAAACUUAUGUAACCUUUUGAUCUUAUUUUGGAAUUUCUAGUGACAAGAUUAUUUUCAUAGUUUUUCCAUGACAUUAAAAAUAUAUAACC